rnacentral:rRNA from 1 species
UACGUAGGUGGCAAGCGUUGUCCGGAAUUAUUGGGCGUAAAGCGCGCGCAGGCGGUCAUUCAAGUCGAGUGUGAAAGCCCCCGGCUCAACUGGGGAGGGUCACUCGAUACUGUUUGACUCGAAGGCGGGAGAGGGAAGUGGAAUUCCCGGUGUAGUGGUGAAAUGCGUAGAUAUCAGGAGGAACACCGGUGGCGAAGGCGGGUCUCUGGGCCGAUACUGACGCUGAGGAGCGAAAGCGUGGGGAGCGAACAGG